GAAAACAAAACGCCACAGUGAGAGGCGAGUAUGCCAAGCGCUUUUUGCUGAGUCUGAGCUCAGCCCCUCCGGCCGGCCGGGCCGCUGCGGGUGUUGUCCCCGGAGCUCGGGCCCCAUCCGCGGUCCAGGCCUGGGCCUCGGCCUCUUUGCUGAGCGGGGCUGGGCUGGUAGCUGCGUUUUCUUUUCAUCAGCUCCUCAUCAGGGCAAAUGCGUGGUCAGGAUGGAGAACCAGAGACUCAGAGGAUCUACCGCAACCGUUUCCUCCUUGAGAGGCUUCAAAGGCUGCCCGGCGCCCGCGGGAUAAGACCCCAACUUUCGGAAUGUCCUUCAUGGUCUCACGAGGCCAGGGGGUUUGGGUGAGGGUGAGAAAACGGAGAUAGAAAACGCAACGCGAAUCCGACACGUGGUGAUGAUCCGAUCUCCGCCUGGUUCCCCAGCCGCCUUUCAUCUUAUAGUAGGCUGUGCCCCCCAGGCACACAGGCUCCCGGACACCCAACCCACUCCCUGUCCGCAUACCCACAGCCCUGAACUCGAGACAGCGAAACCACCUCCGACCUCCCUGCAUAACCAAAGGGCAAUAACCGACAGUUUCCAUCGCCGCCUCCCUGCUGCCGGAAGAAUCACGGGGCCUCCAGCCCCUUAUCCCCAGUGUCUUUUCCAGCACCCACUGCCCAGCAGGGGCUUAGCAUCAGAAGAGGGACUUAGAAGAGCAGGAAGAAAAUGGGUUGGCAAUGAGAGUCUGCGGGGGAAGCCCCGGCCCUGGGCUCGAUGCGUCCUCCAGGGGAAGCUUCUACUAUUACAGCAUCCUCGGCCCCUCACGUGGUGCUUUUCACAGACUGGAAACCAAAUGUCUGCUGAGUGAAUAUGUAUCCUGAAGAACCAGCCACUCUGGUCCUCAAGGACUGUGCUCACAUCCUGGCUGCUUCACUCCAAAGUUCCAUUAGCCCCUCCAGGGAACCCGGUGAACCUGGACUCUCGGAGCCUGUGAGGCUGACCUGGUGGGUUUCAUCAGUGCCCUCAUGUCUUCCCAAUCCCCACACGGUUUGGCCCCAGGGGAGCAGUGGCGGGAGGUCAGAGGGUCAGGGCAUUUUCCUCCCUGGCCACUUCAGACGGCUGAAUCCUCCAGGGCCAGCCGCUCCACCCCCAACAUGGGGGGUCCUCUCUCUCCACGCGACUCUCCUCCGAGGUUUCUGUCCUGGCUCUGUACCACUUCCUACUAGUGGCAAUGGUAAGGCCACCACUCUGGGUCCCGCCCGUCACUUAGGGAGCCCUGGCCCCCACCCCCAUCUAAAUGUCUGAGUAUGCCAACUGUUCCCUGAUGGGGCCCUGGGGGAUAAACAAGCCAUGUUUCACACCCAGACUACAUGCUUCCGUGUUUCAUCACCAGAGUGGGGAGAGGCCCACUCUGCUCUGAAAUCA